rnacentral:misc_RNA from 1 species
UCCCACCUUUGCUUAGCAGAACUGCAG